rnacentral:lncRNA from 1 species
ACUCCCUCCUCCUCUGCCCUGUCCUCUUCCUCCUCCUCCUCCUCCUCUGCACCGUCCUCCUCCUCCUCCUUCUCUGCCCUGCCCUCCUGCUCCUCUCCUCCCCCUCGUCCUCCUCUGCCCCAGGGCUGCCGGCCGCCUUCUGCCUGGGGGCAUUCCUUUCCAACUCGGGACCCCAGAACACAGCCAAACGCCCACCUGGCGUGUUCCACCUGAGACCGCUGAAGGAGUGGGAAACGGACAAACCAACACGAAGAGACCGGACAGCGAGCCAGGGACCUGUGGGAAGACGUGUCAGGGGUUGAGAGCGUUGGUGGUGAGGGGAUAAAAAGUUGUGGGAGAGUGAGGCAGGAGCAGGGCUGCCAGUUAGUUACUUGGUCAUCCUAUACAUACAGAACGAGCACUCACUGUAAUACGGAGAACCAGCCGCCUGCGUUCCAGUAAAGUGAUUUGCCUGCAUCUCCGAUGAUGGUAUUUUCUGUUUGACACAGUCGAAGCUAUCCCUUUUGUUGAUUAAUUCUGGAGGAAGUUGAAGCCUCUACUCC